rnacentral:rRNA from 1 species
UACGGAGGGUGCAAGCGUUAUCCGGAUUCACUGGGUUUAAAGGGUGCGUAGGUGGGUUGGUAAGUCAGUGGUGAAAUCUCCGAGCUUAACUUGGAAACUGCCAUUGAUACUAUCAGUCUUGAAUACCGUGGAGGUCAGCGGAAUAUGUCAUGUAGCGGUGAAAUGCUUAGAUAUGACAUAGAACACCAAUUGCGAAGGCAGCUGACUACGCGAAUAUUGACACUGAGAGACGAAAGCUAGGGGAGCGAAUGGG